CUGGCACAUCAGAAGCACACACACAGACGCUGGAUAUAUCUGAAGGUAAACGUUUGUAAAAGUUACAUAUUUAUUAUCAUCGCAAAUGGUAAAUCUAACGCCGUGCAGAAACGACUGUCUAUAAAAUGUUGUCACAUAGUAACGAGACAAUUCUGCUCCUCCUCUUUGAAGCUGGACAUGUGCGAAAUGAUGAAAUAAAUUAUAAAGUUGGGAUAUAUGUGUUGCCUGGGGGUCCCACCAGUAGCCUGAGACAUGUACCUAAUCAGACAGGGACGGAUGGACAAUUGGGAGGAUGUGUGAUGUACACUUUCAGGUCACCAGCAGAGGGUGCAGUAGAAACAAAGAGCUCCAACCAAGUGGAGACCUCAGCCAGCCAGAUAUCUAUGCCUGCCAGCCAAUGAGAUAUCUAUACCAGCCAGCCAACCAGUGAGAUAUCUAUACCAGCCAGCCAGUGAGAUAUCUAUGCCAGCCAGCCAACCAGUGAGAUAUACCAGCCAGCCAACCAGUGAGAUAUACCAGCCAGCCAGCGAGAUGCCUGCCAGCUAGAUGUCUAGACCAAACAAAACCAGAUAUCUAGACCAGCCCCACAGCUAGAUAAAUAGACCAGCCAGCCAGUUAGAUAUCUAAACCAGCCAGUUGAAUGUCUGGCCUAGUGAUCCCAGUGGUAAGUUCAUUUUCAGGCUCCUGGACAUUGUCUCCAACUCCAGUGUGUUUCUGCUCUGGAACGUUCAGUGGGUCAGUCCUCCGUCAUAGCUCCAUGCAACCAAGCUGUGGUCCUUACCAACCACACCUCAGUCUCAUCAUCACCAUGGGAACACAGUGUGAGGGGAGCCUCUGCUGGUCCCUGGGCCUGAGGGCCAUAAGUCAAGACAUCCCCCGCCAAACACACCCAUGCGCACACACACACUCGCUCCCCACACAGGUCCUGCUCCUUGGUGUCUGGGUACGCUCGCCACACAGGUCCUGCUCCUUGGAGUCUGGGUACGCGGUGUGAUGGCCUGGAAGAAUGCAGAGAGAGCCGGCGACGUCGUCAUCGCACACACUGACAACGAA